UCCUACGGGAGGCAGCAGUGAGGAAUAUUGGACAAUGGAGGCAACUCUGACCCAGCCAUGCCGCGUGCAGGAAGAAUGCCCUAUGGGUUGUAAACUGCUUUUAUUUAGGAAGAAACGCCAGUACGUGUACUGGUUUGACGGUACUAAACGAAUAAGGACCGGCUAACUCCGUGCCAGCAGCCGCGGUAAUACGGAGGGUCCAAGCGUUAUCCGGAAUCAUUGGGUUUAAAGGGUCCGCAGGCGGGCUAUUAAGUCAGUGGUGAAAUCUCUUGGCUUAACCAAGAAAUUGCCAUUGAAACUACUAGUCUUGAAUUCGGUCGAAGUGGGCGGAAUGUGUCAUGUAGCGGUGAAAUGCAUAGAUAUGACACAGAACACCGAUAGCGAAGGCAGCUCACUAGGCCUGAAUUGACGCUCAGGGACGAAAGCGUGGGGAGCGAACAGGAUUAGAUACCCUGGUAGUCCACGCCGUAAACGAUCAUUACUCGAUAUCAGCGAUAUACAGUUGGUGUCUAAGCGAAAGUGAUAAGUAAUGCACCUGGGGAGUACGAUCGCAAGGUUGAAACUC
rnacentral:rRNA from 1 species